AUUACCAUGUUAAUAGUGACGGAAGAACAUAUUAUUUAAGAAUAAUCUAGUAUAUAGUAAGCCAAUAUGACCAUAUUUUGUUGUGUACGUGAUUGAAGGGAAUAUUUUGAAAAAAGCAAAUUUAUGAAAAUGAAUGAUAAUAUAUCUGAUGUGAUGGUAGAUAAAUUCAAGAUACUUAUUUUAUAUGCACUUAGAAAUAUAAAAGUAGCAGAUAUAAGAAAAAUCAUAUUAGAAAAAGCUUUUGGUAAAAAUUAUAUGUCUAGAAUAAGCUAUAUACCAC
rnacentral:lncRNA from 1 species